rnacentral:rRNA from 1 species
AGUGAACGCUGGCGGUAGGCCUAACACAUGCAAGUCGAACGGCAGCACAGUAAGAGCUUGCUCUUACGGGUGGCGAGUGGCGGACGGGUGAGGAAUACAUCGGAAUCUACUUUUUCGUGGGGGAUAACGUAGGGAAACUUACGCUAAUACCGCAUACGACCUACGGGUGAAAGCAGGGGAUCUUCGGACCUUGCGCGAUUGAAUGAGCCGAUGUCGGAUUAGCUAGUUGGCGGGGUAAAGGCCCACCAAGGCGCCGAUCCGUAGCUGGUCUGAGAGGAUGAUCAGCCACACUGGAGCUGAGACACGGUCCAGGCUCCUACGGGAGGCAGCAGUGGGGAAUGUUGGACAAUGGGCGGAAGCCUGAUCCAGCCAUACCGCGUGGGUGAAGAAGGCCUUCGUGUUGUAAAGCCCUUUGUUGGGAAAGAAAAGCAGCAGGUUAAUACCCCGCUGUUCUGACGGUACCCAAAGAAUAAGCACCGGCUAACUUCGUG